AUUGAACGCUGGCGGCAGGCUUAACACAUGCAAGUCGAGCGGGGACUUCGGUCCUAGCGGCGAACGGGUGAGGAAUGCUUGGGAAUCUGCCCAGUAGCGGGGGAUAACGUUUCGAAAGGAACGCUAAUACCGCAUACGCCCUACGGGGGAAAGGGGGGGAUCUUCGGACCUCUCACUAUUGGAUGAGCCCAAGUCGGAUUAGCUAGUUGGUGGGGUAAAGGCCUACCAAGGCGACGAUCCGUAGCUGGUCUGAGAGGAUGAUCAGCCACACUGGAACUGAGACACGGUCCAGACUCCUACGGGAGGCAGCAGCGGGGAAUAGUGGACAAUGGGCGAAAGCCUGAUCCAGCCAUGCCGCGUGUGUGAAGAAGGCCUUCGGGUUGUAAAGCACUUUAAGCGAGGAGGAAUGGCUGAGGGUUAAUAACCUUCAGCAGUGACGUUACUCGCAGAAUAAGCACCGGCUAACUCUGUGCCAGCCGCCGCGGUAAGAC
rnacentral:rRNA from 1 species